CUCUCUGUUAAAGGUCAACCCAGUUCCCUUGCCCUCUGAAAUGCAGCCAACUAAUGGAGAUGAUAUCCUGGCAGGAACAGCUGGUGGAUGGCAUAGGGACAGCUGGCAGGCUAAUAUUGGAAACAGGGGAUCCUUUUAUGCUGCAAGAGCUUUGAUUGAUUGAUUG
rnacentral:lncRNA from 11 species